UGGGCGCUUCACCCUGAACCUAAGCCUGC
rnacentral:piRNA from 1 species